UGGGGAAUAUUGGACAAUGGGGGGCAACCCUGAUCCAGCAAUGCCGCGUGUGUGAAGAAGGUCUUCGGAUUGUAAAGCACUUUCGACGGGGACGAUGAUGACGGUACCCGUAGAAGAAGCCCCGGCUAACUUCGUGCCAGCAGCCGCGGUAAUACGAAGGGGGCUAGCGUUGCUCGGAAUGACUGGGCGUAAAGGGCGUGUAGGCGGUUUACACAGUCAGAUGUGAAAUCCCCGGGCUUAACCUGGGAGCUGCAUUUGAUACGUGUAGACUAGAGUGUGAGAGAGGGUUGUGGAAUUCCCAGUGUAGAGGUGAAAUUCGUAGAUAUUGGG
rnacentral:rRNA from 1 species